UUGAAUUAUAUUAACACCAUUUUGUUUAUAAAUAUUUUAUGUUUAUUUCAUGAUAAAAAAUAUUAAUAAUAUGCUAAAAUACUAUUAUAAACUUCUUUGAAAAAUUUCUGGUAUAGGAUGUCUAUUUUCUUUAAAUAAAUGGUUACACUGGCCCCCAUUUCUCCCCGCUCACUACAUCCAAUAAUAUAAAUAAUUUUCACAAAUUUGCCUUUCAAAUACAAUUUCUCCCAACAAGGUAACUACAAGCUGAGUUUUCAAUAUAAGAUAUGCAAUCGCUGGGUCAAAAGUUUGGAAACUAUUGAAUAUAUCAGAAUAGAUUCAGAUUUCAUAGUAUUCGCCAAUCUAUCUACUUAUAAAAAUAAACGAAGCUUACUCCUAAUGGUUUUUCCAAGAAAUUUAAAAGAAGAGGCUAUCAAAAACGGAAGUAUUUUAAAACGUGACAGCAGAAUAAAUAUAGUUAUGAUGGCGUAUCAUCAUAUUGCCAAAAUAACCGAAGCACGGAAGAAUAUAACUUAUAUAAUUUUAUAUAAAACUGCCCAAAUGAUAAAGCCUCGCAUUAAAUGUGUAUUCAACCAGGAAUCUAAAAUGAAAAAACCAAGAGUCAUUCGUAGAAUGAGCUUCGACAAUAUUCAGAAAUUUUUGCAAACAAUAGAAGUGAUAACAGAAUAAAAUUAAAUUGAAACUUAUCACUUCCUUUUAACCUUUCAAUCUCCAGUGAGAUUUAUGAGACACCAAGCUUAAUCUCAGGAAGGUUUUUACCUAUGCCAACGAUUUGUAGGUCUGAUAGCAUAUCAAUCCACGGAGAGGAUAUUUCUGUUUUCAAUGAAGAUUUUAAUGAUUUUGCUAUGGAUUUGGCUAUGGAUUUAGAACUGGAUGAUCCAUUAGAUUCUUUAUUUUUUUGGAAAAGAAGUAUAUAAAGAUAAGCGACCUGAAUAUAAAAUGUGCAAUGAUUACUCAAGUUAAAUGAACAAAUCCAAGUGUAAACAUUUUGACAAAAGAUCAAGGUCUGAAUUUGUGGGGAUUUUUGUUUAAUCCAAUAACUGUGAAUCUAUAUGUACUAUGGCAAAUACCAGGCUAUUAAAAUAUAGCCUUCUUUUUGCUAUCAUAUAUUAUCUUUUGGUAACAAAUGUGUUUACUAUCUUUGAAUACUAUAGGAAAAAAUUAUUAACACACUACUAAGAACAUACACAAUAACUUCAAUAUGUAUUAACUUUUAUGGCGGGAGACAAAAUAAAACUUUCAAACAUAAAGAAUUUUAGAGAAAAAAACCCAAAAUCAUUAGCAACUCUCCGGGAUAUAUACCCGAGACAUAGGCCAACAAAUUUAGUGGGACUUUACCUUAUCGAUGUUUUUAUCCUCUCAUAGAAAUUACGAUCCCUUUGGAAUUCCUGUGAGGAAGAAAGCUCAUAAAUAUUAGCACAUUCUAUAUCGUACCAACUUCUUGAUUUUUUGAAAAUCAGGCCAAAUCUUUUUUGUGAUUCAAAGAAGUCUUAAAUCUACAAUCUCAAGAUCAUAUAAUUAAAUAAAAAAUAAGCUUUGAGAUAAUCCAUUUUAAUAUUUAAUUAUUCAAAUGUUCAUGGCCAUUAGAACAAGAAAACUUACAUAUUUGUUAAAAUGUUUUAAUUUUUUUUUAA